GGGAUAGAGUGGGAGGAAGGGGAGAUUUUAAAGUCCUGGUCAAGAUAAUGGGAGCAGUUUCCUUUACGGAUUAUGAAUUUGCUUUCAUAGCUUGGCUCUAGUUUGUUUGCAGGGAACAUGGUUUGGCUCCCACUGUCUUCAGCAAAGCUGGACUGAAGUGGCCUCAGUGCAAGACAGACUCAGAACUUGGCUUUGAAGGGGCCCAUUCUGUUGCUUGUUAGUGGGUCAAAUUUUGGAGCUCUGACUCAGGCUGAACUUUCAGUGGCUUUUGCACCUGGAGAUUUAAAUAUCUGUCUGCAGGGAAGGUGAGCACCAAACGGCAUCCCUAGCUGCAGCUCCUUAAGACGUUACCUCCCCCUUCAUCCCCUCCAGCUGUUUAUUAUUUCCCUUCUGCUGCUGCUUACCACCUCCACGGUGUGUCAGAAGAAUGGGACACGAAUGCUCCCACCUCAGCACAAAGUCUGGCAGCGGCUCCCUUCCAGCUGCUGGGGAAAGGGGUUUAGGCAGAGCUGCCAGCCUUUGCCCAGGAGCCUCGCAGGAGAGUGCGAGAGCUGUUCCAGCGGCGCUGCGCCGGCAGCGGGAGCCUCCGGCACAAGGGAGCAGAUGAACGAGCUGCCGGGGGUGGCAGCGGUGGUGAUAACAUCUGGACCCACCCGAGGAGAGCGCAUCUCCCGAUGCUGUAGGAGUCACAAUUCUGAUUCCCAUGUGGCUGAGGUAGCCAAUGCAGGGAUGAGCACUGGACAAGUGUCUAUAUUGUUGGGGAGAUGCAUCAGCUCCAGCUCUGCUGCCUUUUACUGGAAGCUCAUACAGGAAGCAAAAUGUUGCCCUCCGCUGUUUGCAGCGUUGCUGGAACAGAGAACUCGCUGCGUCCGAGCCAGUCCAGUGCUUUACUCCAGUGUCACAUCCCUGGCACUGGUCAGGGGAUUUGGAGAGAGACGACUCCCACCCAGCCCACAGAUGCUGCAAAGACCUGAAAAAGGUCCCAUCACCCUCCCUGAGCCACCAGGAGUGACAUCCUUCCACUCUUAGGGAGAACCUUUGGAACCACCCUCACCAGAGACCACAGUGGACAAAAUAAAACCUUUAAAGGCUCAAGGUAGUUAAUACA
rnacentral:lncRNA from 1 species